rnacentral:misc_RNA from 1 species
AAGUCGUAACAAGGUUUCCGUAGGUGAACCUGCGGAAGGAUCAUUGCAAAUCGAAAAGGGGUUGGGUGCAGUGGGAUCAAAACCACUGCGUUCCAGCCGCCGACAUUUGGUCGGGACGCGAGUCUCGGAUCAUAUUCACGCUUGUGCCGUUUGACAGAGUAACAAUGUACAUAAUGAGACAACUUUUAACAAUGGAUCUCUUGGCUCUU